rnacentral:rRNA from 1 species
AACAGGAUUAGAUACCCUGGUAGUCCACGCCGUAAACGAUGUCGACUUGGAGGUUGUGCCCUUGAGGCGUGGCUUCCGGAGCUAACGCGUUAAGUCGACCGCCUGGGGAGUACGGCCGCAAGGUUAAAACUCAAAUGAAUUGACGGGGGCCCGCACAAGCGGUGGAGCAUGUGGUUUAAUUCGAUGCAACGCGAAGAACCUUACCUGGUCUUGGCAUCCACGGAAGUCUUCAGAGAUGAGAAUGUGCCUUCGGGAACCGUGAGACAGGUGCUGCAUGGCUGUCGUCAGCUCGUGUUGUGAAAUGUUGGGUUAAGUCCCGCAACGAGCGCAACCCUUAUCCUUUGUUGCCAGCGGUCCGGCCGGGAACUCAAAGGAGACUGCCAGUGAUAAACUGGAGGAAGGUGGGGAUGACGUCAAGUCAUCAUGGCCCUUACGACCAGGGCUACACACGUGCUACAAUGGCGCAUACAAAGAGAAGCGACCCCGCGAGAGCAAGCGGACCUCAUAAAGUGCGUCGUAGUCCGGAUUGGAGUCUGCAACUCGACUCCAUGAAGUCGGAAUCGCUAGUAAUCGUGGAUCAGAAUGCCACGGUGAAUACGUUCCCGGGCCUUGUACACACCGCCCGUCACACCAUGGGAGUGGGUUGCAAAAGAAGUAGGUAGCUUAACCUUCGGGAGGGCGCUUACCACUUUGUGAUUCAUGACUGGGGUGAAGUCGUAACAAGGUAACC